GGAUGAAAAUAGUCCAAAACCGCAACUGGAAGGCCAUGGAGGUUGCUUUGACUGAAAUGAUGCAGUUGGUAGAGAACUAAAACAUACUCAUAUCAAGCAAUAGGGCAGUCAACUCAGUGACCAAAAGGCUAAGGAUGCAGCUACAGCUACGGCAUGGUGUAGGAGUUCUACCCUUGGAGAGCUUUCUGUAUGCCGUUUCUCUGGGCUUAAUCCCGCUUCCCUCUCCCUCCCCCUGAAGUAGGCUCUACUGUAUGGAUGCCAUUUUUGUCCACAGGCUGUUAUCCAAUCGCAUUGGUUCACACAGAUGGAGUGUCUGCUUCACCAGCAUUUGUCAGAAAACAUCUUAGGGUGAAGUUUCAGCAUGCAGGGGAUGCUGCUUGGCAGGCAAUCGGUUCUUGAUGAAGGAUCCUCACCAGGUUUUAUUUACUAGUCAGGAAACACCUGAAUGAGUUCUCAGGAGAGCAUCUCCAUGCUGCCAAGGGGAUCAUGAAGACUGGUCACAUUCUUGAGAAGCUGACUUUCCGCAAAGCCUCCCAAAGGACCUAAAUGUAGGACACUUGGAGUAAGAAAAUAUGCCUCCUCGGUUAUGCCUGUAAACAUACGAACACUUUACAAAGUUUUGGAAAGCACACAGAACAGCUCUAUCAGAGUUGACAGCUCCAGUUCAAGACAUAUCUGGCUGGCCUUAAAUGUACUACCCUGACUAAGCUAUCCUUGAAUGCACAGAGAUCUGCCUACUUCUGCCUCCACAGUACUAGGAUUAAAGGAUCAAGUGUGAUGGUUACUGAAAUUGGAUAUUGGAAAGAGUUACAGUGACAUCAAGAACUGAGCAGUGGCAGAGAAAGCACCUGAGGACUUCAUGGUCCUGGCUGGAUGUCUUUGUGCAUUCUUCUUGGCCUGUGGAAACUCCAGUUAUCUCAGAAUAGCCCCAUCCAGGUGAAGAAACUGGAGCAUGUGAAGGAUUGCAAGAGCAGAGGCAGAGAGCUCCAUUCCAUGUCUGUGGACUCAAGAAGUUAUGAAGAACUUGGAUGUUUUCUGUCUCCGAGAGCCUCCUUUCACCUUACCACCCACACAACAGAGGGAGGCAGGGAUGGGGCAGAACAAAUAUAAGACUUCAGAACACCGGAAGUUCAGAGAAAAUACUUCAGGACAUUUCUAUAGACCAAGCUGUUAUGAUUCCUGAGCCAGCCCUCAACAAGUAUGUAGACUUGUUCAGGAUGGAUUUGUUUUGUGCCUGUUCUUCCUACUAUGUACUGCACUGGGGCUGUAGGGCAUAAGAUGAACAGGGCAGGAGGAAAGCCCUCUCACCUAUAAUCCCCAGGGACUGUCAAGGAACUGGGCAUUGUAAUCUAUCUCUUAGGAGGCUCCUGUUGUGUGAUCCUAUUCCUGGGAAGAUGAGAACAGAUAUCUACUCACCCCAGAUAGGAAACUGAUGACAGAUCAAAGUAAUGAUACCACCAAAGUCUAACUUGUUGAACCUAAGAGUUUUAUUGGAGUUACUUAAAGGAACAUAAAUGAUUCUCUGAAACUGCAAGCAAGCCUCAAUUAAAUUUUUUUUUAAAGUUGCUGUGGUCAUAGUGUCUCUUCACAGCAAUAGAGCACUGACUAAGACAAUCUACUUGGCGAGGGAGGGGUUUAGGGAAUCUUCAGGAAUUUCUGAAGCUUUUGAAGUACAUUUUUAGCUUAAUGAGCUUCCCUGCAGGAUUAAAGGUCUCACCUCCCCUUAGAUCACCCUGCUGCUUCACAUUUCCAUCUAUAUCCUGUAUCUUAAGGGGCUUCCCUCUAAUAUAGGAGGUUGUAAUUUUAAAGGAAAUAUUGUGUAAUAGUUCCUUUGCCGAUAGAAAUUUGAGGACUAUCCCCUGGUUUCAUGUCACAUUUAGAGACAAGCACAGGGAACAAUGGCAAUAAAAGAUAAAUACCUGGACUUUGCUAAAAUUAAGAUCUGUCUUAGUCAAUGUUCUAUUGCUGUGAAGAGACUCUAUGACCACAGCAACUAUUAUAAAAGAAAGCAUUUAAUUGGGGUUGGCUUACAGAUUCAGAGGUUUAGUCCAUAAUUGUCAUGGAGUGAAGCAUGGCAGCAUGCAGGCAGACAUGGUGCUGGAGUGGUAACUGCUAGUUCUGUAUCUGGAUCUGUAGGCAACAGGAUGAGAGAGACACUGGGCUUGGCUUGAGCUUUUGAAAAUUGAAAGCCCACCUCCAAUGACUCUUAACAUAAGCUACAGUCAAGAAUAGGGAACCUCAACUGAGAAAAUGGUCCCCACCAGAUUGGCUUGUGAGGAAGCUUAUGGUACAUUUUUGUAAACAGAAAUUGAUUUGGAAGGGCCUAGGACACUGUGGGUGGUACUCUUGGCAGGUGAUCCUGAGGUGAAUAAGAAAGCAGGCUAAACAAGUCAUGGGGAGCAAGCUAGUGAGCAGCACUCCUCUACAGUCUCUGCUUCAGUUACUUCUUCUGGGUUUUGCCUUAUGUCCCCACUGUUACUUCCCUGGAUGAUGAACUCUAUACAAGCUGCAAGAUGAAAUAAACCCUUUCCUUCCCAA